CUCCUUCAAGGAAAAAGGCAGGUGCAUAAAUUCACAAACCACCUAACAAAUAAAGGCAAUGCUAAUUAUCACUGACUGCAGGACAUUUGGGGGAGGGUCUCAGCCAAGUCUGCUUUCUAACGGCUCUGAUCUCCCACCCUGACCAGAGCUGGCUAACUGCAGGAAGUUACAUUCAUUCAGAAGCUGGCGCGAGGGCAAUGGUUUGGUUUCCCCCUCGGAACCUGGUGUGUGCAGGAAUGAGCCACGCUGGAUGAGAGCAACUGACUAUUCUGUAAUCACCUCAAGCAGCCACUGCUCAACACCCGACAGCGCCCCAAAAGAAACUUUCCAGGUCAGACCUGCAUUGCAGUCUCAUGCUCCCCUAGCCUCCUCAGCCCCUUCCCCAUUUUCCCUCAUAGCUGUGUCCCUAGUAAAUCUCUUGCUCUCGGCAUCUGCUUCUGGGAGAACUCAGACACUAACACUCCAGAGAAGACGCUGGAUGUCAGAGACAAGCUUCUUGGAUUCCCUGCUUCCUUGCCCUGGAGUCCAACUCAAGGGAUACGGUCCAAUGGCGCAUGCUCUGGGCUGGCAAGAGAAGCCUAUGUACAGAUCUUGGUUCUGCUAAGUUCCAAGGAUAUGGCCUUUGUCUCCCUGGGUCAUUGGUGGAUCCCCAGUGCCUGGCUCAUAUUCACUGCCCAAUUAAAUAUUUGGGAAUGAACAG